CCAAUGAGCGAUGAUGAUAUGAUCGGCUACAUCAUAGCGGGUCUCGACACUGAGUACAACCCGCUGGUUUCCUCUAUCAUGACCAGGUCUGACUCGAUCGAUCUGUCUGAGUUCUAUGCCUAUUUUCUCUUCUAUA